rnacentral:misc_RNA from 1 species
UCUAUAAAAUGUCCUCCUUCAGAGGAUGUUAAAAUUAUUCCUCAGAUUUAAACUGAGCCAUUAUUUAAUCCUACUCUUUAUCCAGUUCUUAUACUCCUUAUGAACAUGUCAUCUGCUUUGCGUAGUAAUGUUGUACGCCCUUGUCAAUUCCUAGUACACGUUGCACUCAAUUCAAUUAGUUAUUGCAAAGACGUAAAGUUGUCUUGUGUGUUCUUUCCUCUAAAUUAGUAACACUAACAAUCAAAUAAAGGUGACAUGUACAUCGUCUCAGUCUUCCUACGCUUGGCCCAGCAGAAUAUGAGGAUAUUGUAGCUGGGAGGAGAAAUGGCUGUCUCAGCAGUCGGCUGAUACCAGACUGAAGCAGCAGGAAAUCCCGUACCUUGUUGAAAGACAAAACACGGUACUCAGCUCAGGAAUCGAACCAACGACCUUAUGGUCACGAGCUCAGUAUCCUAACCUCUAGACCGGGAACCUUCACAUCAGAAAGAAUCGUUGUUGAUAAAAGCUUACCUCUGUUCCAGCACUGAUAUUACCUAAUCUUUCGCACAAGCAGGUUAGCGAAUUUUUUUUUUUUUUCCGUUGAACUCCAAAGAAACUACGAUUAAACCAGAGCAGUUUUAUAUUUAAAUCCCAAGUGAUUGAUGGACUUCUGGUUACGAGGGGAAUCAAAAUUUGUACUAAUGAGAGAUAUAGUUUUGGAAGCAAAACAUUCCAUAGUAGAAGGCUUGCUACGAGGAAAUGUAGCAGUUGUCGCCGAAAGCUGGAAAAGGUAAGAAAUGCAGAGAUGUCUAGAUCUGCACAAACACCAACCGCGAACAUUGAUAAUGCAGAAGCAACACAAAAAGAUUGUAUUAAUACUUCAAACAUUUCCGAAUCGGAUUCUACUACCUCCUCCAUACAUCGCAGAAACAAUAUUCCUGCAGAACAAGACAAAUACCAGAUAACGGACUUUACACCAAACAUAAUGAUGCAAUUUCAUCCAGAAGCCCAGUCUUCGAAGUUUGCCGAAAAUUUGCAAAUGACAAGAUCCGCUGGUAACAUAUACAUUUUAAUGUGUUUGUAUUGGUACAACUUCAAACAAUAUUUACUAUACAGAAAAUUAAAAAAGAAAAACCAGCUAAAUUUGUAAUAUCUAUAAAAGAAUCUGGUCUUAAAUUUGUAAAGAGCUGUCAAAAUUUUAUCAAAAAUUCCCCUGAAAGAAAUUCGUAAAAUACACUUAAUUAAAAUUCACAGUUUAGAGUAAACAUGAUGAUUAACAAUCAUUGAAUAUUACUAUAAAGCUUCAGUCGAUUAAUUUGAAUGAAACCGGUGACAAUCACUUUUUGAGAACUCUGUCAUUUUUCCAAACGCGUCUUGAUGAAAUCCUUCUGUUACUAUAUUUCUGUCGAAAUACGCUAUAUUUGUAUCAGUUAAUUUUUCAAAUAAUGAAGGAUUUAGUAAAAUAACUUCAUCGUUAAGCUGGUGUUUGGAAAAACAAAUUAACAGAUUUUGAUGGAAGAUUUGAAUUUCGAUCACUUUGAAACAGAAUGCUUGCAUCAAAGAACCAAGGGCAAUUUGAGGCUGUCUUCUACAAGCUGAAAUGGUUACACAAAAGAGUAACCAAGUCAUCUUCGCAUAGUUUGCAUUCUCAGAACCAUUAUGGAGAAUACUACUAAUUUGGGACUUGUAUAAAACAAAUCUUGUAUUAGGAAGUUAGGAAAUUAAGAAAUAACGAAAUCAAAAGCAAUAAUUGAAAGAAAUGUUGGCUUUGGAACGAUUUAUUUUCCAUAUAGAAAAUACAUUACAUGCAUCCAAAUUAAGAACAUAUCGUAUACACAUGAAGAUAUACUACUACAAGCCAUAAAGGACAGUGGCAUCAUAUGCAAAAGUAACAAACUGAUAGUACAUAUGUUCUCAGAACGUUAUAUGGCAUAUGAUAUCAGCUACUUCAUUGAUGAUAAACGUUGAUUUAUUUUCUACAACGCAUGAUCGCAGUUUCAAUAAUGCAUUUUCUACUAAAAGAAACACUUGAGGAAUAUUAAAGCAAUCUAUAAAUGUGACGGCGGUCAUGUGUAAAACUGCAAACCAUUUUUAUUUUUGAAUAACUCCAGGUACAAAACUUUGGAUUUGUUACAUUUAUAUUUAGACACACAAGCAUUCAGCUACAUAUACUU